UCUGCUUCCCACCAAGACCCUGAAGGAGGAGCCCCCCCCACCACCGCUGCCCAAUAAUUGAAGACAGCUCUCCCAAAUCAACAGACAUUCAACAGAAACAGAAACCAGCAGAGCUGGCUUCAGUAAAAAGGACUCUCAGAGGCUACAGAGUGUUUCGUGGCACCAAGGGCAGCAGGGAAGCCGGACCUCUGCAAUGGCCUGGAACCAGGUACUGAGAACUGAGAACUCCUCUCUGACCGAGGCUUUCAUUUCAGUAGAAAGGAAGCAAACAAGACAAUUUCUGAUGGUGAAUUGGUCAUUGAGACAAAAACAUCUAGGAAGCAACCUAAAUGACCAUGAGGAAGGUGUUGGUCAUAUAAAGGCAGCUGGAGAAAAGAAAGCUCGUCUUACAUGAAUAAGAUCCGUGCUAUGGACUGAAUGUUUGUAUCCUUCUGCCCCCAAAUGUGCAUGUUGAAAGCCCAGUCUCCAAUGUGAUGGCAUUGAGAGGUGAGACCUUUAGAGAGGUAAUUAGGUCAUGGUGGUAGAAUCCUUAUGAUGAGAUUAGUGCCCUUAGGAGAAGAGACAGCUUGCUUUUUCUCUCUGCUCUCCAUCAUAUGAGCCUUCUAUUUGCAAACCAGGAAGAGGGUCCUCAUCAAGAACCUGACAGUGCUGGUACCCUGAUCUUGGAUUUCCAGCCUCCAGAACU